AGCGUACACGGUGGAUGCCCUGGCAGUCAGAGGCGAUGAAGGACGUGCUAAUCUGCGAUAAGCGUCGGUAAGGUGAUAUGAACCGUUAUAACCGGCGAUUUCCGAAUGGGGAAACCCAGUGUGUUUCGACACACUAUCAUUAACUGAAUCCAUAGGUUAAUGAGGCGAACCGGGGGAACUGAAACAUCUAAGUACCCCGAGGAAAAGAAAUCAACCGAGAUUCCCCCAGUAGCGGCGAGCGAACGGGGAGCAGCCCAGAGCCUGAAUCAGUGUGUGUGUUAGUGGAAGCGUCUGGAAAGGCGCGCGAUACAGGGUGACAGCCCCGUACACAAAAAUGCACAUGCUGUGAGCUCGAUGAGUAGGGCGGGACACGUGGUAUCCUGUCUGAAUAUGGGGGGACCAUCCUCCAAGGCUAAAUACUCCUGACUGACCGAUAGUGAACCAGUACCGUGAGGGAAAGGCGAAAAGAACCCCGGCGAGGGGAGUGAAAAAGAACCUGAAACCGUGUACGUACAAGCAGUGGGAGCACGCUUAGGCGUGUGACUGCGUACCUUUUGUAUAAUGGGUCAGCGACUUAUAUUCUGUAGCAAGGUUAACCGAAUAGGGGAGCCGAAGGGAAACCGAGUCUUAACUGGGCGUUAAGUUGCAGGGUAUAGACCCGAAACCCGGUGAUCUAGCCAUGGGCAGGUUGAAGGUUGGGUAACACUAACUGGAGGACCGAACCGACUAAUGUUGAAAAAUUAGCGGAUGACUUGUGGCUGGGGGUGAAAGGCCAAUCAAACCGGGAGAUAGCUGGUUCUCCCCGAAAGCUAUUUAGGUAGCGCCUCGUGAAUUCAUCUCCGGGGGUAGAGCACUGUUUCGGCAAGGGGGUCAUCCCGACUUACCAACCCGAUGCAAACUGCGAAUACCGGAGAAUGUUAUCACGGGAGACACACGGCGGGUGCUAACGUCCGUCGUGAAGAGGGAAACAACCCAGACCGCCAGCUAAGGUCCCAAAGUCAUGGUUAAGUGGGAAACGAUGUGGGAAGGCCCAGACAGCCAGGAUGUUGGCUUAGAAGCAGCCAUCAUUUAAAGAAAGCGUAAUAGCUCACUGGUCGAGUCGGCCUGCGCGGAAGAUGUAACGGGGCUAAACCAUGCACCGAAGCUGCGGCAGCGACGCUUAUGCGUUGUUGGGUAGGGGAGCGUUCUGUAAGCCUGCGAAGGUGUGCUGUGAGGCAUGCUGGAGGUAUCAGAAGUGCGAAUGCUGACAUAAGUAACGAUAAAGCGGGUGAAAAGCCCGCUCGCCGGAAGACCAAGGGUUCCUGUCCAACGUUAAUCGGGGCAGGGUGAGUCGACCCCUAAGGCGAGGCCGAAAGGCGUAGUCGAUGGGAAACAGGUUAAUAUUCCUGUACUUGGUGUUACUGCGAAGGGGGGACGGAGAAGGCUAUGUUGGCCGGGCGACGGUUGUCCCGGUUUAAGCGUGUAGGCUGGUUUUCCAGGCAAAUCCGGAAAAUCAAGGCUGAGGCGUGAUGACGAGGCACUACGGUGCUGAAGCAACAAAUGCCCUGCUUCCAGGAAAAGCCUCUAAGCAUCAGGUAACAUCAAAUCGUACCCCAAACCGACACAGGUGGUCAGGUAGAGAAUACCAAGGCGCUUGAGAGAACUCGGGUGAAGGAACUAGGCAAAAUGGUGCCGUAACUUCGGGAGAAGGCACGCUGAUAUGUAGGUGAAGUCCCUUGCGGAUGGAGCUGAAAUCAGUCGAAGAUACCAGCUGGCUGCAACUGUUUAUUAAAAACACAGCACUGUGCAAACACGAAAGUGGACGUAUACGGUGUGACGCCUGCCCGGUGCCGGAAGGUUAAUUGAUGGGGUCAGCGCAAGCGAAGCUCUUGAUCGAAGCCCCGGUAAACGGCGGCCGUAACUAUAACGGUCCUAAGGUAGCGAAAUUCCUUGUCGGGUAAGUUCCGACCUGCACGAAUGGCGUAAUGAUGGCCAGGCUGUCUCCACCCGAGACUCAGUGAAAUUGAACUCGCUGUGAAGAUGCAGUGUACCCGCGGCAAGACGGAAAGACCCCGUGAACCUUUACUAUAGCUUGACACUGAACAUUGAGCCUUGAUGUGUAGGAUAGGUGGGAGGCUUUGAAGUGUGGACGCCAGUCUGCAUGGAGCCGACCUUGAAAUACCACCCUUUAAUGUUUGAUGUUCUAACGUGGACCCGUAAUCCGGGUUGCGGACAGUGUCUGGUGGGUAGUUUGACUGGGGCGGUCUCCUCCUAAAGAGUAACGGAGGAGCACGAAGGUUGGCUAAUCCUGGUCGGACAUCAGGAGGUUAGUGCAAUGGCAUAAGCCAGCUUGACUGCGAGCGUGACGGCGCGAGCAGGUGCGAAAGCAGGUCAUAGUGAUCCGGUGGUUCUGAAUGGAAGGGCCAUCGCUCAACGGAUAAAAGGUACUCCGGGGAUAACAGGCUGAUACCGCCCAAGAGUUCAUAUCGACGGCGGUGUUUGGCACCUCGAUGUCGGCUCAUCACAUCCUGGGGCUGAAGUAGGUCCCAAGGGUAUGGCUGUUCGCCAUUUAAAGUGGUACGCGAGCUGGGUUUAGAACGUCGUGAGACAGUUCGGUCCCUAUCUGCCGUGGGCGCUGGAGAACUGAGGGGGGCUGCUCCUAGUACGAGAGGACCGGAGUGGACGCAUCACUGGUGUUCGGGUUGUCAUGCCAAUGGCACUGCCCGGUAGCUAAAUGCGGAAGAGAUAAGUGCUGAAAGCAUCUAAGCACGAAACUUGCCCCGAGAUGAGUUCUCCCUGACUCCUUGA
rnacentral:rRNA from 1 species